ACAUGCAGUCGAGCGAACAGAUAAGGAGCUUGCUCCUUUGAAGUUAGCGGCGGACGGGUGAGUAACACGUGGGUAACCUACCUAUAAGACUGGGAUAACUUCGGGAAACCGGAGCUAAUACCGGAUAACAUUUAGAACCGCAUGGUUCUAAAGUGAAAGAUGGUUUUGCUAUCACUUAUAGAUGGACCCGCGCCGUAUUAGCUAGUUGGUAAGGUAACGGCUUACCAAGGCGACGAUACGUAGCCGACCUGAGAGGGUGAUCGGCCACACUGGAACUGAGACACGGUCCAGACUCCUACGGGAGGCAGCAGUAGGGAAUCUUCCGCAAUGGGCGAAAGCCUGACGGAGCAACGCCGCGUGAGUGAUGAAGGGUUUCGGCUCGUAAAACUCUGUUAUUAGGGAAGAACAAAUGUGUAAGUAACUGUGCACAUCUUGACGGUACCUAAUCAGAAAGCCACGGCUAACUACGUGCCAGCAGCCGCGGUAAUACGUAGGUGGCAAGCGUUAUCCGGAAUUAUUGGGCGUAAAGCGCGCGUAGGCGGUUUCUUAAGUCUGAUGUGAAAGCCCACGGCUCAACCGUGGAGGGUCAUUGGAAACUGGGAAACUUGAGUGCAGAAGAGGAAAGUGGAAUUCCAUGUGUAGCGGUGAAAUGCGCAGAGAUAUGGAGGAACACCAGUGGCGAAGGCGACUUUCUGGUCUGUAACUGACGCUGAUGUGCGAAAGCGUGGGGAUCAAACAGGAUUAGAUACCCUGGUAGUCCACGCCGUAAACGAUGAGUGCUAAGUGUUAGGGGGUUUCCGCCCCUUAGUGCUGCAGCUAACGCAUUAAGCACUCCGCCUGGGGAGUACGACCGCAAGGUUGAAACUCAAAGGAAUUGACGGGGACCCGCACAAGCG
rnacentral:rRNA from 1 species